CAAUAGCGUAUAUUAAAGUUGUUGCGGUUAAAAAGCUCGUAGUUGGAUUUCUGCCGAGGACGUCCGGUCCACCCUCUGGGUGUGUACAUGGCACGGCCUGGGCAUCUUCUUGGGGUACGUAUCUGCACUUGACUGUGUGGUGCGGAAUCCAGGACUUUUACUUUGAGGAAAUUAGAGUGUUUCAAGCAGGCACGCGCCUUGAAUACAUUAGCAUGGAAUAAUAAGAUAGGACCUCGGUUCUAUUUUGUUGGUUUCUAGAGCUGAGGUAAUGAUUAAUAGGGAUAGUUGGGGGCAUUCGUAUUUAACUGUCAGAGGUGAAAUUCUUGGAUUUGUUAAAGACGGACUACUGCGAAGGCAUUUGCCAAGGAUGUUUUCAUUGA
rnacentral:rRNA from 1 species